GAAAUAUUCUAAGUAAACUUCUAAUUUAUAAAUAGUGAUUUAAAUCAUUAAUAUUUCU
rnacentral:tRNA from 1 species